UGGGAAGAUAUUGCACAAUGGGCGCAAGCCUGAUGCAGCCAUGCCGCGUGUAUGAAGAAGGCCUUCGGGUUGUAAAGUACUUUCAGCGAGGAGGAAGGUGUUGUGGUUAAUAACCACAGGCAAUUGACGUUACCUCGCAGAAGAAGCGACCGGCUAACUCCGUGCCAGACAGCCGCGGUAAUACGGAGGGUUGCAAGCGUUAAUCGGAAUUACUGGGCGUAAAGCGCACGCAGGCGGUCUGUCAAGUCGGAUGUGAAAUCCCCGGGCUCAAGCCUGGGAACUGCAUCCGAAACUGGCAGGCUAGAGUCUUGUA
rnacentral:rRNA from 1 species